AAGUCGUAACAAGGUCUCCGUUGGUGAACCAGCGGAGGGAUCAUUACCGAGUUUUCAACUCCCAAACCCCUGUGAACUUUACCAGUCGUUGCUUCGGCGGUCACGCCCCGGCGCCCUCGUGCCCGGAUCAGUGCGCCCGCCGGAGGCCAAAAACCAUUGUGUAUUAUAUGUAUUAUCUGAGUGGCACAAGCAAAUAAAUCAAAACUUUCAACAACGGAUCUCUUGGUUCUGGCAUCGAUGAAGAACGCAGCGAAAUGCGAUAAGUAAUGUGAAUUGCAGAAUUCAGUGAAUCAUCGAAUCUUUGAACGCACAUUGCGCCCGCCAGUAUUCUGGCGGGCAUGCCUGUCCGAGCGUCAUUUCAACCCUCGCGCCCAUCUGGGCUGCGGUGUUGGGGACCGGCCUGCCCCUCCGGGGGCGCGCCGCCCCCCAAAAUCAGUGGCGGUCUCGCUGCAGCCUCCCUUGCGUAGUAGCACACCUCGCACCGGAGCGCAGCGCGGCCACGCCGUAAAACCCCCCGACCCCCAUGAGUUUGACCUCGGAUCAGGUAGGAAUACCCGCUGAACUUAAGCAUAUCAAUAAGCGGAGGAAAAGAAACCAACAGGGAUUGCCCCAGUAACGGCGAGUGAAGCGGCAACAGCUCAAAUUUGAAAUCUGGCCCCUAGGGUCCGAGUUGUAAUUUGUAGAGGAUACUUUUGGCGCGGCGCCUUCCGAGUUCCCUGGAACGGGACGCCAUAGAGGGUGAGAGCCCCGUCUGGUUGGAUGCUUAGCCUCUGUAAAGUUCCUUCGACGAGUCGAGUAGUUUGGGAAUGCUGCUCUAAAUGGGAGGUAUAUGUCUUCUAAAGCUAAAUACCGGCCAGAGACCGAUAGCGCACAAGUAGAGUGAUCGAAAGAUGAAAAGCACUUUGAAAAGAGGGUUAAAUAGUACGUGAAAUUGUUGAAAGGGAAGCAUUUGUGACCAGACUUGGGCCCGGUUAAUCAUCCAGUGUUCUCACUGGUGCACUUUGCCGGCCCAGGCCAGCAUCAGUUCGCCUCGGGGGAUAAAGGUUUCGGGAAUGUGGCUCCCUCGGGAGUGUUAUAGCCCGUUGCGUAAUACCCUGUGGCGGACUGAGGUUCGCGCUCCGCAAGGAUGCUGGCGUAAUGGUCAUCAGUGACC
rnacentral:rRNA from 1 species